rnacentral:tRNA from 1 species
GGCUCCCUGGCGGAAUUGGUAGACGCAGGGGAUUCAAAAUCCCCCGCCUUCGGGUGUCCCGGUUCGAGUCCGGGGGGAGCCACCA